AGAGACAGCAGCCGCCGCGGUAAUACGGAGGGUGCAAGCGUUAAUCGGAAUUACUGGGCGUAAAGCGCACGCAGGCGGUUUGUUAAGUCAGAUGUGAAAUCCCCGAGCUUAACUUGGGAACUGCAUUUGAAACUGGCAAGCUAGAGUCUUGUAGAGGGGGGUAGAAUUCCAGGUGUAGCGGUGAAAUGCGUAGAGAUCUGGAGGAAUACCGGUGGCGAAGGCGGCCCCCUGGACAAAGACUGACGCUCAGGUGCGAAAGCGUGGGGAGCAAACAGGAUUAGAUACCCCAGUAGUCCCUGUCUCUUAUAC
rnacentral:rRNA from 1 species